rnacentral:rRNA from 1 species
AUGAACGCUAGCUACAGGCUUAACACAUGCAAGUCGAGGGGCAGCAUGGUCUUAGCUUGCUAAGGCCGAUGGCGACCGGCGCACGGGUGAGUACCACGUAUCCAACCUGCCGUCUACUCUUGGACAGCCUUCUGAAAGGAAGAUUAAUACAAGAUGGCAUCAUGAGUCCGCAUGUUCACAUGAUUAAAGGUAUUCCGGUAGACGAUGGGGAUGCGUUCCAUUAGAUAGUAGGCGGGGUAACGGCCCACCUAGUCUUCGAUGGAUAGGGGUUCUGAGAGGAAGGUCCCCCACAUUGGAACUGAGACACGGUCCAAACUCCUACGGGAGGCAGCAGUGAGGAAUAUUGGUCAAUGGGCGAGAGCCUGAACCAGCCAAGUAGCGUGAAGGAUGACUGCCCUAUGGGUUGUAAACUUCUUUUAUAAAGGAAUAAAGUCGGGUAUGGAUACCCGUUUGCAUGUACUUUAUGAAUAAGGAUCGGCUAACUCCGUGCCAGCAGCCGCGGUAAUACGGAGGAUCCGAGCGUUAUCCGGAUUUAUUGGGUUUAAAGGGAGCGUAGAUGGAUGUUUAAGUCAGUUGUGAAAGUUUGCGGCUCAACCGUAAAAUUGCAGUUGAUACUGGAUAUCUUGAGUGCAGUUGAGGCAGGCGGAAUUCGUGGUGUAGCGGUGAAAUGCUUAGAUAUCACGAAGAACUCCGAUUGCGAAGGCAGCCUGCUAAGCUGCAACUGACAUUGAGGCUCGAAAGUGUGGGUAUCAAACAGGAUUAGAUACCCUGGUAGUCCACACGGUAAACGAUGAAUACUCGCUGUUUGCGAUAUACUGCAAGCGGCCAAGCGAAAGCGUUAAGUAUUCCACCUGGGGAGUACGCCGGCAACGGUGAAACUCAAAGGAAUUGACGGGGGCCCGCACAAGCGGAGGAACAUGUGGUUUAAUUCGAUGAUACGCGAGGAACCUUACCCGGGCUUAAAUUGCAGAUGAAUUACGGUGAAAGCCGUAAGCCGCAAGGCAUCUGUGAAGGUGCUGCAUGGUUGUCGUCAGCUCGUGCCGUGAGGUGUCGGCUUAAGUGCCAUAACGAGCGCAACCCUUGUUGUCAGUUACUAACAGGUUCCGCUGAGGACUCUGACAAGACUGCCAUCGUAAGAUGUGAGGAAGGUGGGGAUGACGUCAAAUCAGCACGGCCCUUACGUCCGGGGCUACACACGUGUUACAAUGGGGGGUACAGAGGGCCGCUACCACGCGAGUGGAUGCCAAUCCCCAAAACCUCUCUCAGUUCGGACUGGAGUCUGCAACCCGACUCCACGAAGCUGGAUUCGCUAGUAAUCGCGCAUCAGCCACGGCGCGGUGAAUACGUUCCCGGGCCUUGUACACACCGCCCGUCAAGCCAUGGGAGCCGGGGGUACCUGAAGUGCGUAACCGCGAGGAGCGCCCUAGGGUAAAACUGGUGACUGGGGCU